rnacentral:snRNA from 1 species
AGCUCUGUGCAGUAGCAGUAUCGUAGCCAGUGAGGUUUAUGUGAGGCACAAUUACUGCCAACUGAAACUACGAAUGGAGUAUUAAAAUUCAGAAUUCUGGGGUCGGGGAAACCUUGAAUUUGAUUUACUUUUCCCACUUCA